rnacentral:sRNA from 4 species
AUGUACUUCAGUACAUUCCGGUUCCUGCGCUCCGGGCGCUACCAGCUGACGACCUCUCGCUACAGACCUUGAACAGGUUUCUUGAUAACU